GAUAUAUUUACAAAAUGACCCCUGAAAAUUCACUAGCCAGUCGGGCCAGUGAUUGUGGAGAUUUACUGGCCAGACUGGAUUUUCCUAGCCACGGGCUAACGGGCACACUGCAAACCACAUU
rnacentral:lncRNA from 1 species